rnacentral:rRNA from 1 species
ACUUGGUAACGCGCUCGAUGGAGCCGUCGAUGGCGCGAGGCUACAUCCGUGGGGUAAUGGCUGACAGCCUCUCAAGCCAGAACCCUUGCCAGAGACACGGCCAG